AUUGAACGCUGGCGGCAUGCUUUACACAUGCAAGUCGAACGGACUUAGGUGCUUGCACCUAGGUUAGUGGCGAACGGGUGAGUAAUGCAUCGGAACGUACCGUGUAAUGGGGGAUAACGCAGCGAAAGUUGUGCUAAUACCGCAUACGAUCUACGGAUGAAAGCAGGGGAUCGCAAGACCUUGCGUUAUACGAGCGGCCGAUGCCGGAUUAGCUAGUUGGUAGGGUAAAGGCCUACCAAGGCAACGAUCCGUAGCGGGUCUGAGAGGAUGAUCCGCCACACUGGGACUGAGACACGGCCCAGACUCCUACGGGAGGCAGCAGUGGGGAAUUUUGGACAAUGGGCGCAAGCCUGAUCCAGCCAUGCCGCGUGAGUGAAGAAGGCCUCG
rnacentral:rRNA from 1 species